GCGUGUGGGAUGAAGGCUCUUGGGUCGUAAACCACUGUCAGUUGGGAAGAAAUCUUUUUCGGUUAAUACCCGAGAGAGUUGACGGUACCUUCAAAGGAAGCACCGGCUAACUCCGUGCCAGCAGCCGCGGUAAUACGGAGGGUGCAAGCGUUGUUCGGAAUCAUUGGGCGUAAAGCGCGUGUAGGCGGUUAGGUAAGUUGAAUGUGAAAGCCCGAGGCUCAACCUCGGAAUUGCAUCCAAUACUGCUUAACUAGAAUCCUGGAGAGGGUGGCGGAAUUCCGAGUGUAGAGGUGAAAUUCGU
rnacentral:rRNA from 1 species